GUUUAGGGUUCAUUGGAGAAGAGGAGAAGAGGGUUGUUGUCAAAAUCUGAGGGUUCCUUCGAUUUUGGGAGAAAUUGGAGAAGAAAUCAUUCUUUGUAAAACUCUGAGGUGGAGUUUGAAAUUGGAAGGUUGUGGAGUAGAAGAUUUGGGAUGAUGGAAACAGGAGAGAAGCAAGGAGAAGGAGGGCAUGGCCAAUGGUGUCAUUGUGGGAAGUUAGCACGGAUGCAGACUUCGUGGACCAGUUCAAACCCAGGGCGAAGAUUUCUAGUCUGCCCAAAGUCAAAGGGAAGGGGAGAAAAAGGAUGUAGGUUUUUUCAGUGGUUUGAUGCAGAAAUGUGUGAGCGUUCAAAAUCGUUGAUACCUGGUUUGCUGAGGAAGAUUGAUAGGGUGGAGAAGGAAAAUGCAAAUAUUCGAGCAAAGUCAAAAAUAUUGUGGGCUGCUAUGUUGCUUUCGUGGUUGGUGGUGUUUGCCAUGAAGAUGAAUUAGGCACUUUGGCAGUAGUUCAUUGGGCAUUGUAAUUUGAUACCUGAUGUUAAUGUAAUGUAAGGCAUUUUGGCAGUAGUUAAGCAUUUUGGCAGUAGUUAAGCACUUUGGCAGUAGUUUAAUGGGCAAAUUUAAUUUGAGAACAAAUGCUAAUCUAAUGUAAGACACUUUGGCAGUGUAAUGUAAUGUCAUUUGGUGUAAUGUAAUGUAAUGCUAGUUAAGUUUACUGGAUAU